GACGUAGGGCGCGAGCGUUGUCCGGAUUUAUUGGGCGUAAAGAGCUCGUAGGCGGCUUGUUGCGUCGACUGUGAAAAACCUGCGGCUCAACCUCGGGCUUGCAGUGGAUACGGGCAGACUAGAGUGCGGUAGGGGAGACUGGAAUUCCUGGUGUAGCGGUGAAAUGCGCAGAUAUCAGGAGGAACACCGGUGGCGAAGGCGGCCUGCUGGGCUGUUGCUGACG
rnacentral:rRNA from 1 species